UGGGGAAUAUUGCACAAUGGGGGAAACCCUGAUGCAGCGACGCCGCGUGAACGAAGAAGGUAUUCGUAUCGUAAAGUUCUGUCCUAUGGAAGAUAAUGACAGUACCAUAGAAGAAAGCUCCGGCUAAAUACGUGCCAGCAGCCGCGGUAAUACGUAUGGAGCGAGCGUUGUCCGGAAUUAUUGGGCGUAAAGGGUACGCAGGCGGUUUAAUAAGUCGAAUGUUAAAGAUCGGGGCUCAACCCCGUAAAGCAUUGGAAACUGAUAAACUUGAGUAGUGGAGAGGAAAGUGGAAUUCCUAGUGUAGUGGUGAAAUACGUAGAUAUUAGGAGGAAUACCAGUAGCGAAGGCGACUUUCUGGACACAAACUGACGCUGAGGUACGAAAGCGUGGGGAGCAAACAGG
rnacentral:rRNA from 1 species